CUCUAAGAAAUGAUUUUAUACUUAUUGGACAGUUAUAUUACCAUUCAUGUCUAUGUGUCCAUGAAUCAUCCAAGAGAUUAAUAAGAUGAUGACACAUAUUCUCAAAGAGUUAAGAAUUUGAGGCAUAUGUCAUUGAUGGUUGAUUUCUAAAUUACUCUUGAUCAUAGGAUCAUCAUGAGGAUGGUGAUUGAUCUGGAUAGACCAG
rnacentral:lncRNA from 1 species